GGAGUCCGCGCGUGCCCGCGCCGAGCCGCCUGCUCAGGCGGCUUCGCUGCUAGCUCGCGGGGACGUCGGGCCGGUUUUUCCAGGAUGACCGAGCUGAGGCAGAGGGUGGCCCAUGAGCCGGAUGCGCCACCCGAGGACAAGAUAAUUGGAGGGUCCACCAUCACUUUGUCACCUGAUCAAUGGUUGGCUGGAGCUGAGGAUCAUCUGUUCCCACCAAUCCCUGUUGCCUUACACCAGGCUCACGGCUUCCCCUAAUGCAGCCUGUAACUUUUUGAUGACUGGACGCAACGGACAUUAGGGAGACACCAAGAAGGAAGAAAGCACAAGAUUUGGUGACAGGAUGUCAACAGAGCAGUUACACUAGGAGGAAUGUUUUUAGUGAAAGAUAAUGAGAUCGUGGGUUUUUUAAAACAACUUUCGUGUUAUUGCAGUUGUCAGUGGACUAUCCAAAGAGAACUGUUCCUACUGAUUUUUAGAACAUAUAUUUUGGCCAGGCACAGUGCUGCUUGCCUGUAAUCCUAGCUUCUAGGGAGGCUGAGGCAGGAGGAUCACUUGAGCCCAGGAGUUUGAGACCCUGUCUCAAAAAACAAAAACAAAAACAUAUUUUGAAGAAAAUUUAGGGCUGGGGCUGAGGAUUUAGCAGUCACUUGCAGAGACAAGAUACUUUGAAGUCUCUAAUUUUUCAUUUGGCUAUCCUGGUUCAGCCUGAAAGAAUUCUGACUUACCUUGUACUACUAGCUGGAGUCAGAGUCAGAAGCAAAGGUAGAUGGAGAGACUGCAUCGGACAGUGAAAGCCGGGCAGAAUCCGCACCCCUGCCAGUCUCUGCAGAUGAUACCCCGGAGGUCCUCAAUAGGGCCCUUUCCAACUUGUCUUCAAGAUGGAAGAACUGGUGGGUGAGAGGCAUCCUGACUUUGGCCAUGAUUGCAUUUUUCUUCAUCAUCAUUUACCUGGGACCAAUGGUUUUAAUGAUAAUCGUGAUGUGCGUUCAGAUUAAGUGUUUCCAUGAGAUAAUCACUAUUGGCUACAACGUCUACCACUCCUAUGAUCUGCCCUGGUUCAGGACCCUCAGCUGGUACUUUCUCCUGUGUGUAAACUAUUUCUUCUAUGGUGAGACAGUGACGGAUUACUUCUUCACCCUGGUCCAGAGAGAAGAGCCUUUGCGGAUUCUCAGUAAAUACCACCGGUUCAUUUCCUUUACUCUCUAUCUAAUAGGAUUCUGCAUGUUUGUACUGAGUCUGGUCAAGAAGCAUUAUCGACUGCAGUUCUACAUGUUUGGCUGGACCCAUGUGACGUUGCUGAUUGUUGUAACACAGUCACAUCUUGUUAUCCACAACCUAUUUGAAGGAAUGAUCUGGUUCAUUGUCCCCAUAUCUUGUGUGAUCUGUAAUGACAUCAUGGCCUAUAUGUUUGGCUUUUUCUUUGGUCGGACCCCACUCAUCAAGCUGUCCCCGAAGAAGACCUGGGAAGGCUUCAUUGGGGGCUUCUUUGCUACUGUGGUGUUUGGCCUUCUGCUGUCCUAUGUGAUGUCCGGGUACAGAUGCUUUGUCUGCCCUGUGGAGUACAACAACGACACCAACAGCUUCACUGUGGACUGUGAGCCCUCGGACCUGUUUCGCCUGCAGGAGUACAAUAUUCCUGGGGUGAUCCAGUCAGUCAUUGGCUGGGUAUGUGCCACUCACAGGGGGUGAGCGGCCUCCAUGGACAGUGGCUACAAAGAGAGAUCCCCCUACAUCACCUGCCCUCUGAAAAAAGCUAGCUUCCUCCUUCCCAAAGCUGUAAGCCCCAGGAUGAAGGAGAAUUGCUCACUCCAGGUCAGGGUGUGGGCAGGAGACCUUUCCCCUAACAUCAGAUUGUUUAGACCAGUGGUUUUCAAAGUGUGUUCUGUGGAUCCCUGGAGGGCCCUGGGAUCCUUUUAGUUACGGGGGUAGGGUGGGGGGUCUGUGAGGUCACAACUGUUUCAUAAUUAGACUAUCACAUUUCCCUUUUUCAAUGUGUUGACAUUAGCUGUGAUAGGACACAAAAGCAGCAGUGGUUAAAACUGCGUUAAGGCAGUGGGUUCGUCAUGCCACACACUCACAGUACAAACAGGCCAGUUCUUCUAAUGAAUGUCUAUGAAAUAGUAAAGUUACUAAUUUUGUUAAAUCUUGACCUUUGUACACACACCUUUUUAAUACUCUCUACUGAAAUGGAAAGUAUGUGUAAAACAUUUCUGCUAAGUACUGUAGUACAGUGCUUGCCUAAAGGGAAAGCAUGUGUGCAGUUGUUUGAGUUGUGAGCUGAAUUAGCUGCUUUUUUCUAGAAAAGAAAGUAAAUUUUACUUGGAAAGAACCAACAAAUUAUAAUUUUUCAGACUUGGGUAUUUGGCAGACAUUUUUCUUGAAAAGGAUGAAGUGAGCCUAUCACUUUAAAGAAAACAACUGAGGCUAGGCACAGUGGCUCAACACCUGAAAUCCCAGCACUUUGGAAGGCCGAGGCAGGCGGAUCUCUUGAGGUCAGGAGUUCCAGACCAGCCUGGGUAACAUGGCGAAACCCUGUCUCUACUAAAAAUACAAAAAAAUUAGGGGGGUGGUGGCGUGUGCCUGUAAUCCCAGCUACCAGCUACUCAGGAGGUUGAGUUGCUUGAACGGAGGCGGAGGAUGCAGUGAGCCAAGAUCGCAACACUGCACUCCAGCCUGGGCGACAGAGUGAGAUUGUCUC
rnacentral:sRNA from 1 species